AUUACAGAAUUAAACUACAGCAAUAUUGAUCGAGGUUAGUGAUCAUCUCAAUUGAUCUCUGGCAAUAAAUGUUGGAAAACAAAAUGCAGAAGCUGAACAGGUCACAAUGUUGUGGUAGAAUAAAAAACCGGGACAGCCUACAUUGUAUCACUAUUGAUCGCAUUUAGCGAUGCUCCAAAUGAAGUAACCCGAUUAAUUGAUCUCUGAGAAGAAAAUGAAAACUAGACCAACCAUUAUAGCGAAUGAAACUAGAAGCUACUCAAUUUUAUUCACUGAAUUGCUUUGAACAGAACUUUGUAGUCAAGAAUCUAUUCGAAUAAUCAUCUGUAUAUGAUUUGUUAAUCGAUGAAUGAAAAAUUUCUUCCGAUACUUAUUCCGUUGGACGUAAUAUGCCGG